UUGUUCAGAUCACAUCCUUAAAAGUGAUUUCUUAUAUAAGGAAGAUAAUAUUAUCAGUAGCCAGACUUAGACCAAACAGAUUAAAAAAAUCAGCUCUACCUCAAAGGAUUUCUGAUGCACUGGUUAAAAACACAGCAGCUGAUAAUUCAGUUAAUUUACCAAGUGAUUUACCCUUCAAAGCUGCAGGAAUAGCUUUCCUGAAGAGUGCAAAAACUUCUUUAGCUUCCAAAAUGGUAUAUAGUACAAACAGUGAAGCUGAUAUAGACAAAUCUGAUCAUUCAUCAUCAACAAUAACUGCAUCUGAGAUUAAUAGUUCUACAGUAACCGUGGGGUCUAGGUCAACAAUUACUAUUUAUCAUCCAAGCCGUUUUUGUUUAACU